rnacentral:rRNA from 1 species
AAUUAUUGACAAUGGGCGAAAGCCUGAUCGAGCCAUCCCGGCUGUGUGAAGAAGGUCUUCGGAUUGGGAAGCACUUUAAGUUGGGAGGGAAGGCAGUAAGUUAAUACCUCGCAGUCUUGACGUAACCGAUAGAAUAAACACUGGCUAAUUCGGUGCCAGCAGCCGCGGUAAUACGAAGGGUGCAAGCGUUAACCGGAAUUACUGGGUGUAAAGCGAGCGUAGGUGGUUUGUUAAGUUGGAAGUGAAAGCCCGGGGCUCAACCUGGGAACUGCUUUCAAAACUGGAUAGCUAGAGUAUGGGAGAGGUAGGUGGAAUUUCCUGUGUAGCGGUGAAAUGCGUAGAUAUAAGAAGGAACACCAGUGGCGAAGGCGGCCUCCUGGACGAUUACUGACGCUGAGGUGCGAAAGCGUGGGGAGCAAACA